UGCCAUAUCUGGCCAUAUAUGUCAUGGUAGUUGUGCUGUCAAAUAGGUGCUCUUCGUGACUUAUUUUUGCUAUUUUAUAGAAUAUCACUCGUGUUUACUUUUAAGACUUUACUAUUUCAAUAGUGAAAUAAUCAACGAAUAUGCCUAUGUGUUGUAUUGUGAAGUGUGGUGCUAGGAAGCACCAAAAUCAAGCUGGAUUGUCUUUACACAGUGCUUCCGCACAGACGAGCAAAUCGGAAUGCAAGUUGCAAUAUUUGCUUCAGAACUUAGUUACCGAAUAUAGGUUUCGAAUUGUAUAAAUAUUUUUUUCUUAGCACUAAAAUUGUUUUGUACAAUCGAUUAAUACAUAAUUAGCUCCAUUUGCAUUAUAUAACUUUCUCAUGAAUAGCUUGAAAACGAUUUUAAAUUAUUGUAUUUUUUUUAAGAGAGUAUCUCCUUAUGGCGUUUCUUGCGGAUUCUUCUUCAUAGGACCGAAUCUUUGGCACCCUGCAACUAGUCUGUCGUGAAAGAACUUUCAUAGGGCUAUUUGAAAUAAUAAAUAAUUACUUUGCCUGUU